AAGCCCCGCAAGGGGUAAGUAGAGUGGCAAACGGGUGAGUAACACGUGGGUGACCUGCCUCAGAGUGGGGGAUAACGUUCCGAAAGGAGCGCUAAUACCGCAUAACAUCCCGCGUUUGGAGACGCGGAGAUCAAAGCCGGGGAUCGCAAGACCUGGCGCUUAGAGAGGGGCCCGCGGCCGAUUAGCUAGUUGGUGAGGUAACGGCUCACCAAGGCGACGAUCGGUAUCCGGCCUGAGAGGGCGGACGGACACACUGGGACUGAGACACGGCCCAGACUCCUACGGGAGGCAGCAGUGGGGAAUUGUUCGCAAUGGGCGCAAGCCUGACGACGCAACGCCGCGUGGAGGACGAAGAUCUUCGGG
rnacentral:rRNA from 1 species